GGCGCCAUAGGCUUAGUUGGUAAAGCGCCUGUCUUGUAAACAGGAGAUACUGGGUUCGAUCCCCAGUGGUGCCU
rnacentral:tRNA from 1 species